CGCCCGUGGAAGCAUCACAUGCUUCUGCACACCGAAGCGCUCCCGCAGCUUCGUCCACAGUACCAGAGGGUCUUUCACCUCCAAAUACUCCAUCUUUAAGUCUGGAUGGAUGUGGCGCCUAAGGAAGAUUGCAGCUUUUGCUUUCUCAUGAAGCUGCAGGCCAAUGUCGUUUGGGCUUAGCCGAACGAUCGCCUUUCCUAGCUGCAUCGCCUCCAGAUGAAACUGGCAGUCGUCAGCCCAGGUCAGGUAGUUCUUGCCAUUCAGAGCAAGCUCCGCGAAGUCAGUCUUGCUGCCUUCAGCCAUAGCCUGUCACGCAAAAUUAACUCCAGGUUAAUUAGGCGUGCCAAUUAUCCAUAACAGAAAUUUAAAUGGUUGUAUGUAAAAAAAAAUAAACUUGCAUUAUCUAUUUUCAGCAGGAAAACAUGAGAUAAAUAAUGCAUAUAAAAAUAAGCCUGCACUGUACAAUACUAAUAAAUUCACUGGAAAUUUAUUCAAGUGCAACGAUUAUAACGGAAAUAAAAGAAUUCGGAUUACAUGCUAGGGUCACGUUAUCUUUAUGGUUUGACGAAAUUAUUGUGAUUGUAUUAAAAACGUGACCACUUAAACACUCGCGCCAUGCAGCAAAAUAUCAUAAAGUAAAUUAAAAAAAUGGCGCAAUGCAUGCAGCCAUAGGAAAGUGUAUGCAGCAGGAAUCGGCGGCGGGUUGCAUACGGCGGUUGCAUGCGGCACAAACAAAUACGUUGCAUGUGGUAGCCUUUCCCCUUUUUUCUUCUUUUCUCCCGAAAAAGUGAACCGCACGGCAGACGUGCAGCAGGUGCAUGCAGCAGGAAACAGCGGGGGCCACAAAGAUCCUG
rnacentral:lncRNA from 1 species